UGUUUCAGAAUGAGGAUAACGGAUUGGAAAAAUUGAUGGUACAAUCCUAAUAGUGUUGUCUAAAUACUGGUGCCAGAAGACUCGGUAAGGCCAGAAACGCUAACGUUAGUAGUCUUGAUCAGGCGUAAAGGGUUAGUAGGCUGCUUUGUAAUUAUAAUAUACUCUCUAGUUUUCAAUUAACUGUAUCUAUCAUCUAUCAUCUUCCCAUCUACCAUCUUUGAUGCUUGAUGAGGGAUGAGAUGGCGAUGGUGAUAUGGGUUAAACUAGUAAUUUCUAAUUAGCCUAUAGAGCUAUAAUUUGUUUUAGUUUUAUUUUAAUAAUAGAAUAAAGAACAAAUAAAGGAAAUUUAGAGGUAGAAAUAAUCAUAUACAAAGAUAGAAUCUUAUCCAAGAUAGUAAGAGAUAUGCUUAAUGUAAGGAUUAAAUCUAUAAAUAUUAAGUGGAAGACUAAGGGCGAAAGCUAUAUGUCUAGGAAAGAUUGACGCUGAGGAACGUAGGUUAGGAUUGAAAAUAGGAUUAGAGACCCUCGUAUCCCUAUCUGUUAACGAUGAAUGGUUAGUUAUUCAGUUAAUUAUAUCUUUUAUUCUGGAUAUUCUAUAUAUUUCAGUUUAAUUGUCAUAUAUCAUACAAAACUGGGUAGCGUAGCUAACGCAAUUACCAUUCCGCCUUGUAAGUACGACUGCAAAGUUGAAAACAAAAAAAUUAGUCGGUUUUGAAGCAAACGAAGUGAAGCAUG
rnacentral:rRNA from 1 species